rnacentral:rRNA from 1 species
AACGAACGCUGGCGGCAUGCCUAACACAUGCAAGUCGAACGAGACCUUCGGGUCUGGUGGCGCACGGGAGCGUAACGCGUGGGAACCUGCCCUUAGGUUCGGAAUAACUCCCCGAAAGGGGUGCUAAUACCGGAUAAUGUCUCCGGACCAAAGAUUUAUCGCCUUUGGAUGGGCCCGCGUUGGAUUAGCUAGUUGGUAGGGUAAAAGCCUACCAAGGCGACGAUCCAUAGCUGGUCUGAGAGGAUGAUCAGCCACACUGGGACUGAGACACGGCCCAGACUCCUACGGGAGGCAGCAGUGGGGAAUAUUGGACAAUGGGCGAAAGCAUGAUCCAGCAAUGCCGCGUGAGUGAUGAAGGCCUUAGGGUUGUAAAGCUCUUUUACACGGGAUGAUAAUGACGUUACCGGGAGAAUAAGCUCCGGCUAACUCCGUG